AAGCAUUAAAAUCCUUAAAUUGGCCACACAUUGAGAGGUUAAAAAUCACUGGUUUAACCAAAUUUUAAAAAAAUCAUGGUUACUGUAGCAAAUCAAAAAGAGCUGCAAACCAAAAGUUGUUUACUAUUAUUAAGUGGUCUACUGGUGUAUAUUAAGUGAGUUACAAUGUAAACAUUCAGAUAUAUAUGAUACAGGUCUAUUUAGUUAUGAAAUGGAGAUAACAAUACUCAAAGCAUGUGUACAUUUAUAUGUUUAUUUUGUUAAUGAUCCCAUGUAUGUUUGCAGGCGUAGGUGUGUCUGGAGUGUGGGUGAGGUUGCGUGGGUGUGUGAUUGUGUUACUUUUCAAUUUGAAUCACAAAAAUGACCAAUAUUUCUUCACCAUUCAUGUCAUAUAUACAUAGAAGGAACACAAACUACUAAUACUAGGACAUUCAAUUUUGCAUACAAAUUACAUGCAUUUGAGGAUUUUUUAAAUGGGAUGAAAGACAAAAAAAUUAAAAGAUGUGAUAACAUAAAGUAAAAAAGUAUUGUGCAAAAAUUGUAAAAAGCAUUAGAAUAAUAAAAUGACUUGAUAUUGAGCUAUCUUCUUUCCGAAAUCUUUCUUGCGUAAAUUAUUGUAAAGAAAUUAAAUUUUGUGAUUCAAAUUGAUGUAAGAUGAUGUGAUUUUCUUCCGGGAAUUCAUGAAAUUUUUGGUUCCUUUUACAGAGUGGAAUGUGUUACAUGAUUCAAGACUUUCAAGAUGACUCAGAAACAGCAUUAACUGUGUGACGUUUUGAAGCUAACAGUAUCAUUCCCAUGAAAACCUGGGUUCAUCUGCGAUUGUAGACUGUGUGCGUGUUUACCCAAGGUAUCUUACAUGAAUGUAAGUAGGCGGGACAGUACAAUGGCCACUUGUCCAAAAAGCAAGUCAUCCAGAACUUCUUGUGUUGUUAUAGAUGAAUGAAACAGAUUUUAAUAAUAUGAAUUUCGCUUUGGAACGAUAUGCAACUUUCCAUGUCUACAUCGUUUUUCAGAUGAUCAACUUAUGUGUGUGAAAUAUAUCAUGCAAUAUACUACUGUACAGUAAUAUACGAUUUACAUGAUUAAAUUCAUACAUAACCGGAAACUGAUCACUGUAUUAGAAGUACAUAUACUCUACUAGAGGUAACAACAUGUUGGUAAUCGCCACUGGUACAAUAUACGUUCAGGAACGUAAUUGAAAUCGUCGUUUGAAAACGAUUUCGAAGUGGAUCAGUGAAAAAACACGUCGUCCCGAAUAAUGCAGACUUUUGAUUGUAUCGUCCCGCGAGGAUCGCCGAAGAUUACCAGAAUGGAAGCCCUUGGUGGAACGAAGGCUCAUCGUCACAGCAUCUUCAAGAUGCAGACGAGCCGCAGCGACAUAUCAACAACGGAAUCGGACAUCUACGAAAGCCAUGCCCUGAAGGCCACGAGGCAUGGCAUGUUCACGAAGUAUAAACUGAAACCUCGGUCCCAAUCGAUGGGGGCUGCGGCGCUCCAGAGCUCCGGGAUUGGGCAAUUCGCGGCGAUGGUACGACAUCGAGAAGCGGACAGCGAUUCCGAAAUGGAUACGGCUCUGAGAAGUUUUCCCAACAGGCCAGACAGUUUUAAGAAAGCAAUAUCUAAAUCUAAUGCCUACGCUAACCAAAUCCAUGGAUUCCCCACCCAUCACCUUCCGGCACAUUCUAUGGCGGAGAAGGAAAUCAGAACAACUGUGGACUGGAGUGAGAAUGCUAUCAGUGGAGACCAUGUAUGGGGUGAGACGAAUGCCUCGGGUGAUUUCUGUUACGUCGGGGAACAGGAUUGCCUGGUAAGUCAAUAUUGGAAAACGGGGCCAAGAAGAAAAUGUUCAUCAUGUAAGAUUGUAGUUCACACAGCAUGUAUGCAACAGCUGGAAAGGAUAAACUUUAAGUGCAAGCCAACGUUUCGGGAUGCAGGGAUCAGGAACUAUCGUGAGAACCAGGUGGUUCGGCACCAUUGGGUCCAUCGGAGUAGGCAGGAGGGGAAGUGCAAACAGUGCGGUAAAAGUUUCCAGCAGAAACUAUUCCAACAGAAGGAUAUCAUCGCCAUCAGCUGCUCAUGGUGUAAAGUAGCGUAUCACAACAAGGUAUCGUGCUUCAUGAUGCAGCAGAUAGAGGAACCUUGUACCCUGGGCGUUCAUGCGACAAUCAUCAUCCCUCCUACAUGGAUUAUACGCUUACCAAAACAGAGAAUACAGGGGUCCUUCAAAAGUUCCCAGAGGAAAAAGAAGAAGCCGUCGAUCAAGAGAAAGUCAAUAUCAAAGAAGGAAGAAGGCAAGAUUCAGAGGCCGUUCAUCAUAAAGCCCAUUCCAUCUCCGUUAAUGAAACCUGUCCUUGUCUUUAUCAAUCCAAAGAGUGGUGGGAAUCAGGGAGGGAAGUUGAUGACUAAGUUCCAGUGGUUAAUGAACCCUAGACAAGUCUUUGACCUCUCACAAGGUGGACCCAGGGAAGGUCUUGAGAUCUUCAAGAAAGUACCUAACCUGAGGAUCUUAGCGUGCGGAGGAGACGGCACUGUCGGGUGGAUCCUGUCAGAGAUUGAUAAGCUGAAAUUCAAACCAAUGCCUCCAGUAGCAGUACUACCUCUUGGUACAGGAAAUGAUCUGGCCAGGACUAUCAAUUGGGGAAGGGGUUACACCGAUGAACCCAUCUCCAAGAUCUUACAGCAGGUGGAAGAAGGACCAGUCGUUCAACUCGACAGGUGGAAUCUCAUCAAUGAACCUAAUCCUGACGUUGCGCUGACGAAAGAGGAGCGGGACAUCGACACCAAGCCAUUGGAUGUUUUCAACAAUUACUUCAGCUUAGGAGCCGAUGCAAGAACAGCAUUAGAAUUCCACGAAUCAAGAGAGGCCAACCCAGAGAAGUUCAACAGCAGAUUCCGUAACAAGAUGUACUACGCCCGGGCCGGGGGAACAGACCUCCUCAAGAGGGCGUCCAAAGACUUAACCAAGAAGAUCACUCUAGAAUGUGAUGGAGUGGACUUCACCAGUAGGAUCCAGGAACUCAAACUACACUGUCUACUAUUCCUCAAUAUCCCCAAAUAUGGUGCGGGCACCACUCCGUGGGGAAAUCCCAGCUCACUUCAGUUUGAACAACAGAGACAUGACGACGGCUUCUUAGAGAUCAUAGGAUUCACACCAUCACAAAUCGCUGCAUUAUACGUUGGAGGUCACGGCGAGCGAAUCUGCCAAUGCCGAGAGGCCAAGGUCAUCACUACGACAACGAUACCCAUCCAGGUGGAUGGCGAACCAUGCCGUCUACCGCCCUCUAUUAUCCACAUCAUGCUGCGUAACCAAGCCAACAUGCUGCUUAAGCCAAAGAGACGAGGAUCAGUGCCAAUUAAUGCAGACGCUCCACUAUCGAAUGAUAGACUGAGGAUACAAGUCAGUAGAAUAAGUAUGCAUGACUACGAGAGACUUAACUACGACAAGGAGAAGCUCAAGAAAGCUUCCGUGCCGUUGGGUAUCAUUGUAGUCGACUCAGACAGCAACCUGCAGCAGAUCCGAGCUCACAUUGACAGACUUCUAGAGGUGUACAUCCUACAGGACUCCAGUGCCAACGGAUCAGCAUCAAGUCUCUCACCGACAUGGUGUUUCCUGGAUUCAACGACAGCCGAUCGCUUCUUCAGGAUAGACCGUCUUCAGGAGCAUCUCCACUACAUCACAGACAUCUCAUCGGACGACCUCUACGUCCUAGACCCGGAGAGGACCAAACCCUCGAGUCUAUCCCCGGAGAGCAAGUCUGGGUCCAUGCCAGACCUCCUGGUCCAAGACCUAGGAAAUAGGACGCCCUCACCGACCAUCCUCGGAACUAACCUCAAGGUGCCUGUCACGGGUCAGCUGAUGCAGUCCAGAAGUGACAGUAUUGAGGAGAUAACCCAAGGGAUUGAUGUGAGCCUCCUUGCUAGUGCCAGUAACAAUGAGUUUACUGGUUAUGAUAGUGAGGAUGGAGCGCACUCUCUCCCGUCGCAAAGUUGUGAAGCCAUCAUCACACAUACGUCAAAUUCACCGAAGCCGCCAAAGAGAGACAUCGUUGUCGGAGUUUCAGACACAGCGCACUUAGAUCCCCUCAAUAAAAUGUUGAUCGACGUAUCGAAGCGAGGGGACCCUAUGAAAUAUGCAGAGCUCCACCGGAAGGGUGCCAAUCUAGAGACAAUGGACCAGCAUGGAAUGACAAGUUUGCAUCAUGCGGCACGCUUUGGACACAAAGAGAUUGUGCAAUACUUAAUAGAGCAUGGGCCUAAGGACUUGCUGGACUCACGUGAUGUGGAGAAGCAGCAGACUGCACUCCACAAAGCUGCUUGGUACAUGAGAAGAACCAUAUGCGCCAUGUUGGUAGAAGCAGGGGCUGCCCUCACAAUCACCGAUUACCAGGGCAACACGCCACGUAUCCAAGCGCUGAAAGCAGAGGAUACCGAGCUAGCAAGUUAUCUUGAAAGUAAGGAAGACUCAGCAUGGACGGAUGUCUAGAUGUCCCAAAACUAGAUCUGACAUCAUUCUUAUUAUUGUAAAGAAAUUACUGUUGUAUAGGCCAAAUGCGUUUUUAAUAAAAAAAUAUCUUGUGCUAUUGCUUUUACAUGGACGAAAUCGUCUAGCGGGCACCUCUUCGUAUGCUCUUUUUCUGUUAUUUGUCGUUUUAUUUUGAUCUUCUAGCUCUUUUUCUUCUAGUUUCUCAUUUUUUAUCAGAGUUUUUAUCAUGACUGACUGAAGUUGGCGGAGAGAAGGCGGGAAAAAUUAAAAAGAGCUUGGUGUGUAGCUUCAAUUUCAAUGUGUCAUGAACAGCAUCAGCGAUUGAAAGAAAACCAUGAAACCGCAGUAUGACACAAAUGACACCUUUGAAGGGGAACACUGAGUACUCAAUUUGAAUUUGAUAAUUUGAAGAUGAAUCAGAGGCCAGUGGUUAAGUCUGGUGCUUAAGUUCAGGUGCUUACUUUGACACCAAGCCUCCAGGACAGCAACACCAAACACCUCGAUGACUGAGUAUCGAGAGGAGCUUUUUGACGAUCUGCAGUGAGUCAGGGACCUAAACCAAAGUGUCACAAUUUGAUCAGGUUUGGUGUAGAAACAUGAAAUCUGUGUUUAAUUUUAUGACAAGGUGUUGAAUGGUCAGUGAUGAAGCAUUGGUAAACACCAUAAGUGUCAAAUAUCUCACACCAUGAUAGUGACAUGGAGGAAUAUGUUUGAGAGAUGGCUCUGUUAAGCACCUUGUGUUAUUUGGUGUUAUUCGUGUACACCUAGCACACUUGAUAUCAGAGUGUUUAACACGAUCUUCAGAAAUUGAUUGGAUGAGUAAAAUGGGGUUAACAAAGUUGAAUCUACGUUAUUUUACUUGGUCUCUCGUCAAGAUGAAUGAAAAAGUGUUUGUACAUUUAAAUGAUGGUGAUGGGUAGUAAAUAUUAAAUACUUUCUUUUCAAUACAACAAGUUUUGUAAACAUACAUGUCAUUUAGGUCUAGAGUUAUGCAUCACAUAGCUAAAGCACUCUAAAAUAAGGCAUUGCUUUCAAAACUCUGCAAGCAUUCAAUUUUCUAAACUACACUAUGUUAUGAAAGCAGGAAUAUGCUUCAAUUUUUUCUGUUUGAAGAUUACUUUGAGCGAUGAUAUUUAUGUUUCAAGCAUUGCCACUUUUCUCUGCAUUUUAUAAAUUGCCAAGAAAGAUGAAAUCAAAGUGAAAAUUGGGAAGCAAAUAACUUGUACAUUGAACUGAUUUGAAAUGAUAAGGUAAUGAGAAAUUCAUUCUGAAGAAAUACUUAAUUCACAUGGCAUAAUUCAAGUGUUUUUUAUCCUUCUCUUUAAGUAAAAUUACCUAUUGUGUUGAAACAUUACUGUGUUCUUAAGGCACAUUAAUAUAACAGAUUUGUGUCAAAGAAAUCAUGGAAUAAGUUUCAUGAAUUGAGUUAGAGGUCAGACUGGUAUAUUAACAGCAUUGUAGACAUGGAUUAGCCCCAUAGAAUAUAAAUUGGUUUCAUUGAUAUUUUUGAACACAUUAAAGCUUGUUUUAUGAUUAUAAACAUAUGUACAUAAUACUCAUGAACCCAAUAGUAUGGGCUUACACAUGUAAUCUUUGAUCAUAUCCAUUAUAAUUAUAAACACAUAGAAAUUGCAAAUGAGCCCUGUCUUCAGGGGUUUAAUAGAUAUAUUUUUUGAGAAAGAAAAAAAUAUUAAGAAGGAUUAGGUCUGUUAAGAAGGAUUUAUAUGAUGAAAAAAUGAACAAGAAAGAAAUAAAAAUACAAGCUUGCAGAUGACCAUUUUCAAGAAAUCACCCAUGAGGCAUAAUUUUUUGACUUUACAUUUAAAGGGUAUUAAGUGAAGGAAGAGGGUUCAGUCAUUGUUCAUUCAUAUGCGGUACAUGGUUUUGUUUUAUUGCUGAAGCUGUGGGAACAGAUAUGCAGCCUUUAUUUUGAAAACAAUAUUAUGAGUACAUGUAUGUUCAGGUGCAUCAAUUUGUUUAUGCAUAUCAUUAAAAUGUUAUUACAAACGAUCUAAAUAGAUAGUUUAUUAUACUUCUGCUCGGAUUUAAAAGUUUUGUAGAAUUCCUGACGGUUAUUACUUAUUCUUAUCACGAUGUAAUCCUUUUGUAUUCCUAAUGCAUUGGUCAUUCUAUUGGAUGAUUAUUCAUGAGGUGGAUAGAUAAGCCCCUCCCCCAGUGUCACCUCCUGACCAAUCAGAAUUCAUAGUGCAAAUAAUUGGUGUCUAUCAAUGAAUAUUCAUGAGAUAUGAUAUAUAUGAAAUACUUAUAAUCUGUAUUAUAGACAAGAAAUUGAAAAUAGGUUGUACAUUGUAAUUAUAAUGAAGAUAAAGAUAUUUAUUUAUUAAAACAGAUAUUAGAAGAAUGCAAUACUUCUUCAAAAAUGUUGGUGUAAAAACGAAGAAAUAUAAAUGAAAGUGUAUAAUUAUUAUCAGAUUAUUUGUGAUUGAAAAAAAGAUUAUUAUCUACUAAGUUACCUUGAAAUUGUCUUGUUGAUGUGCAACAGCCUCAAUGCCUGGUGUAGUGAACUAAACUCUUUAAAGUCUUUAUAACUUUGUCAAGUCUGUAUGUCCCUCACUCAAAGUACAUUGUUCCUUCAUUUCUUUCGUUUGCUUGUGAUCUUGAGUUCUGCUUAUGAAGCUAAGUUUCAAAAGAAAUGGUCUAUUAUUCAUUCUGAUUUGUGUGUCUUGCAGUGGGAAAGGAUUCCUAACGAACAAAAUCUCAUCAAAUAAUGAGACCUUGCUGAAAAUUCCUUACAUUUUGUAUUACUAAAAACACAGCUCUCUGUAGACGUACGUGUGAGUUCAACAAUAGAUUAUCUGGUUAUAACGUUAUUUGAAAUGUCUCUCAUUUUUGUGUUUUUACAAACAGUUUUUGAUCAUCUCUCUCUCUCUCUCUGACUCUGUAAGUCUCUAAAACAUGUUAAGAGUCUAAAGAAAGUAAUGGUGGUACUGCUUCUACAAGUACAUACCAUUGGAUGUUAUAGCUUUGUUUUGGCAUGCAAUAUCAUCCUUCUAUCAUUCAUGUAGAGAAAAAUACAUAUCUUGAAAUUGUAUAUGAAAGCAAAAACUCAUUAAAAAUAAGAUGUCUGUAGGAUCUGUUUGCUUGCUAAUGUAAGUUACUUGAAUAGAUCAGUUCACAAAGGUAUUUGAAUUUUAAACAUACCUCUAUCACAUUUUAUUUUAUACCUCGAUAGUGCAGAUGUCGUGCUAAUCACUCAAUGCACCGGUGCAUAAUUGUCAUUAAAGUUUUGACACAACGACCAUGUCAGAUUCCUGCACUAAAGGUUGCUACUGCCUUAUUGCAGACAGUAUUUCUUUUAAUCUUAUUUUUUUAAAGUCCAGGUUUAUCUUUGAGCUGGUCUCAUAUCCUAUGAUUAUAUAGAAUUUAUUUUUUAAGUUGUCUUUUGUUUUGGUGCUUCAGUUCACAGGUAAAGAAUGAUAUGGGUAUUCAGGGACUCUUGAGUUGAAGACGAACCUACCAAAACUGAACCACCUUUUGUAUUUGUUCUUCUCUUUUUUUUUGGGGGGGGGGGGGGGGGUGGAAGAUGGGAGAGGGGAAUGGAGACAGUGGUAUUUCUGCACAAGUUUGUUAUUGGUACUACCGGUACAGCAUUUUGGUUUGGAGGAGGGGGGGGGGGGGGGGUCGCACAUUGAUUAAAAUUAACCAACUUAGAAACGUGGGCUCCACAGAAACUGAUAUUUUAUGAAAAGCUGUUAUGUGUCCUGUGUCUUGUGCCAGCCAUCCUCUCAAUAGUUGGAUGAAAUAUUUCAUUGUUCAAGCUGUCUUUCUGUUCCGUCAUGAGUCUUACUCUGAGGACUAGAAGCUUCAGUAUAUCUGUAUUUAAAGCAAUUCUUGCAUUAAAACAUACCAACACUCAAUCUUUUCAGACACUGAUGUAGCACAUUAGACUUUAGAAUAUCCAAUUAGGCGUUGUGGUAUGUUCUCUUCUUAUAAUUGUGAUUCAUAUGCCUGAUCCUGUGUUUUUUUCUUUAUUUUUUAUUUUUCUUAACUGUCAUCUUUUCCUCUUUUUUCUAUCUUUUUUUAAUUAUCUAACAGCCAUUGUCUACCUCAAUUGUGUUAGAAUAAAGAAAAUCAGAGCAUUAGAAAAAUUGUCUUACUAGUGCAAAACACCAAUUGUGUUAAUAACAAACAUGGGGGAUAUUUGAUUAAAAAUAAAAAUGCCAUGGCCAAAUUUUCAUUGAAAAGGGUAUGCAUUGCAUGAGGGUGGGGGUGGUAUUGCAAUGGACUAAAGAUCAAAAGAUAGGAUUUGACUGCAGUGAAAUAUGUUUUUACAUUUCUAGAAUUUCAACCUACAUGGCAAAUAUAAAAUGGUUACAUUCAUCCGAUGUGAAAAUGCACAGGACUUUAUUGCGCGUAGUCACCAUUCAUUUACAUGUUUAAAAAGUGUGACAGGUUUUUUUUGCGGCAGUUUACCAUGGCAUAUCUGAACAUGCUAGCUAAGCCCUGAUGAAGGGAAUGGUAAUCAUUUGGGGGGGAAUAUGCACUAUAAACCUGUGCCGAAAGACAAAUUCAUGUACUACAUUGCUGACCAGGUCGUUGAAUGAAUGAUUAUGUAUCUUUGCCUUUGGUAAUACAAUUCAUGCAGCUAUCCGUGGAAUGGGUGAUUAGAAAUGGCAUUUUGGUUAUAUAACCUAAAGUAAUGCAUGCCUCUUUGUGAA